GUAACAAGGUUUCCGUAGGUGAACCUGCGGAAGGAUCAUUAUCGAGUUUUGAACGGGUUGUAGCUGACCUCUUUUUGGGGUAUGUGCACGCCUGGCUCAUCCCCUCUCAACCUCUGUGCACUUCAUGUAAGAGAACGGUGUAAGCUGAUUUUGUAAAGAAGUCAGUGACAAGCCUUCUCUUGCGUUUUACCACAAACACUUCAGUUAUAGAAUGUUUACUGUGUAUAACACAAUUAUAUACAACUUUCAGCAACGGAUCUCUUGGCUCUCGCAUCGAUGAAGAACGCAGCGAAAUGCGAUAAGUAAUGUGAAUUGCAGAAUUCAGUGAAUCAUCGAAUCUUUGAACGCACCUUGCACUCCUUGGUAUUCCGAGGAGUAUGCCUGUUUGAGUCUCAUGGUAUUCUCAACCCCUAAAUUUUUCUAGUGAAGAUUUGGUGGGCUUGGACUUGGAGGUUGUGUUGGCUCUCGCUAGUCGACUCCUCUGAAAUACAUUAGUGUGAACCUUACGGAUCGCCUUCAGUGUGAUAAUUAUCUGCGCUGUGGUGGUGAAGUAUUUAUUGUAUUCACGCUUCUAACCGUCUCUCCUUCGAGACAAAUACUUUGACAAUCUGAGCUCAAAUCAGGUAGGAUUACCCGCUGAACUUAAGCAUAUCAAUAAGCGGAGGAAAAGAAACUAACAAGGAUUCCCCUAGUAACUGCGA
rnacentral:rRNA from 1 species